AAGGUUUUAAGUUAAACAAACUAUAAGCCUUCAAAGCUUAAAAUAAAAAAAGAUUUUUAAACCUUG
rnacentral:tRNA from 1 species